GACGAACGCUGGCGGCGUGCUUAACACAUGCAAGUCGAACGGAAAGGCCCUGCUUUUGUGGGGUGCUCGAGUGGCGAACGGGUGAGUAACACGUGAGUAACCUGCCCUUGACUUUGGGAUAACUUCAGGAAACUGGGGCUAAUACCGGAUAGGAGCUCCUGCUGCAUGGUGGGGGUUGGAAAGUUUCGGCGGUUGGGGAUGGACUCGCGGCUUAUCAGCUUGUUGGUGGGGUAGUGGCUUACCAAGGCUUUGACGGGUAGCCGGCCUGAGAGGGUGACCGGCCACAUGGGGACUGGGAUACGGCCCAGACUCCUACGGGGGGCAGCGGGGGGGAAUAUUGCACAAUGGGCGGAAGCCGGAUGCAGAAACGCCGGGUGGGGGAUGACGGCCUUCGGGUGGUAAACCGCUUUCGCCUGUGACGAAGCGGGAGGGCCGGGAAUGGGUAAAGAAGCACCGGUUAACUACGU
rnacentral:rRNA from 1 species